rnacentral:rRNA from 1 species
CGGGGGGGUGCUAUAAUGCAAGUCGAGCGGACAGAUGGGAGCUUGCUCCCUGAUGUUAGCGGCGGACGGGUGAGUAACACGUGGGUAACCUGCCUGUAAGACUGGGAUAACUCCGGGAAACCGGGGCUAAUACCGGAUGGUUGUUUGAACCGCAUGGUUCAAACAUAAAAGGUGGCUUCGGCUACCACUUACAGAUGGACCCGCGGCGCAUUAGCUAGUUGGUGAGGUAACGGCUCACCAAGGCAACGAUGCGUAGCCGACCUGAGAGGGUGAUCGGCCACACUGGGACUGAGACACGGCCCAGACUCCUACGGGAGGCAGCAGUAGGGAAUCUUCCGCAAUGGACGAAAGUCUGACGGAGCAACGCCGCGUGAGUGAUGAAGGUUUUCGGAUCGUAAAGCUCUGUUGUUAGGGAAGAACAAGUACCGUUCGAAUAGGGCGGUACCUUGACGGUACCUAACCAGAAAGCCACGGCUAACUACGUGCCAGCAGCCGCGGUAAUACGUAGGUGGCAAGCGUUGUCCGGAAUUAUUGGGCGUAAAGGGCUCGCAGGCGGUUUCUUAAGUCUGAUGUGAAAGCCCCCGGCUCAACCGGGGAGGGUCAUUGGAAACUGGGGAACUUGAGUGCAGAAGAGGAGAGUGGAAUUCCACGUGUAGCGGUGAAAUGCGUAGAGAUGUGGAGGAACACCAGUGGCGAAGGCGACUCUCUGGUCUGUAACUGACGCUGAGGAGCGAAAGCGUGGGGAGCGAACAGGAUUAGAUACCCUGGUAGUCCACGCCGUAAACGAUGAGUGCUAAGUG